AGCAAAGAAGGGAGUAGAAGCCUCUAUAGGAGCUGUUUCGGGUUGCACUAUCCUAAUAUUGUUUCUACUGUGUGAGAGGACAAACAUCAUACAACCAAUCCUUGGCAAGGAGAAAGAAACUCCUGCCAUUCUUAAAUGGAGUCUUGUGGAACUCCACACAAGAUUCAACCAAAUAAAGGACUUGAAUGACAUCGAGGGUAUUUUUAAAACUCCUAAAAAGCAAAAAACUACCAGGGAAGAGGAAGACACUGUUGAGAAGGGUAUUUUGAAAACAUAUAAAAAGAGAAAAACUACCGGAGAAGAGGGAGACCCACUUGACAAGG